AAACAAUUAAUUAACAGCAAAUUACUGGAGUAGAUCUGCAAAGCACCUGAGGAUAAAUUGCUCUAAGUGACAAAUAACCUUCACAGAGACACAUUAAAUCAAUUGAGAAAAAGAUCAUCACUGAAAACACCCUAAGGGAAGGAAAAGGAUCAUUGGUCAAUGGUAGUGCUGUAAAGCACAAUACCAGUGAAAAAUCAGGAGAGAAAAUACUGACAACUUAAUAAGCUUCAGAACAAGCUAUGAAGAGUUAGUAGCACAGACUGCACAAGAUCUAUCAGGAAUAGCACCUAAGUUGCUCUGUUUGAGCUCUUCUACUACUCAAGAACUGCCUUAGUGAACACAAAUGUAUGUACUACUGCAUUAGCUGCAUGUGCUGGCAAUCUCUCAAAAGGAAGGUGCCAAAAAUGAAAUG